rnacentral:rRNA from 1 species
AUGAUGGUGGAGAGGGAGAAAGAUGAGGGAGAAGCAAUGGCCGUGAACGGGCCAGGGAAGGAAGAAGCAGAAGCUGCAGCGGCACCGGCAGCGACAGGAGAGAAGGGAGAGGGGGAGAGGAAUGACGGAGAAAGAGACGAAGGCGAGGAGCGGAAGGAGGAAGAAGAGGCGGAGGAGAAGAAAGACAAAGUGGAGCCGGAAGAGUGGUCCGAGAUAAGGCUGGCGAUCGCGGAGCUGUCCCCGAUCAGCCGGCGCGGCGGCAAGCUGUGCUCCUCGCCUCCCACGCUGCCCUUCCUCGGCCUCUCCCACCUCCUCCUCCGGCUCCUCGAUAAGAUUGGUCCGACAAUGGCAGUGCUGCGGCUCGACGUCCAACGGAACAUCGAGAGGCUGCAGGAGCUAUACUUGCAGGACCCAUCCAAAUACUCCAUUCUGACGGCGAUGGUCGAGAAAGAGGCUGACGACGGCACCGUGAGGAAGGCCGAUAGCUGUGCAAGAGCUAUUCUAUGGCUCACUAGAUCCAUGGAUUUCACUGUUGCACUGUUACAGAGACUGGAGGAGGAGGAGAAGGAGGAGGGUUCUGAUCAGCAGAGUCUUGCACAGCUCGUAGAAGCUGCGUACAUGGUCUCUCUCAAGCCAUGGCAUGGCUGGAUUUCUUCCGCGGCAUGCAAGAUCGCAUUGAAGCUCAUCCCUGAGAGGGCGAUCUUCGUCGGCUGGCUCAUGGGGGAAAACCAGAGCUACAGCCUCCUCAAGGUCGAGAUUGAGAAGCUCGUCCAGCUGCUCCAGCCCUUUCUCGACGACAUCCAUUCCAUGCUGGCCAAGUUCAGAUUGGACAGGCUGAAGUCGACCUGA